GACGAACCGUGCGAACGUUGUUCGGAUUCACUGGGCUUAAAGGGCGCGUAGGCGGCUUGCCAAGUCAGGGGUGAAAUCUUUCGGCUCAACCGGAAAAGUGCUUCUGAUACUGGCGGGCUGGAGGAGGGUAGGGGCAGAUGGAACUUCCGGUGGAGCGGUGAAAUGCGUAGAUAUCGGAAGGAACGCCGGUGGCGAAAGCGGAUCUCUGGGCCAUUACUGACGCUGAGGAGCGAAAGCGUGGGGAGCGAACAGG
rnacentral:rRNA from 1 species